rnacentral:tRNA from 1 species
GCCGGUAUAGCUCAGUUGGUAGAGCAACCGCCUUGUAAGCGGUAGGUCCCCAGUUCGAAUCCGGGUACCGGCACCA